CGUCGGCCCGGCGACGUAAAACAGGCAUUAGGCCGGGGGCGUCCGCCCCUCGUGGGCGGGGGUUGCA
rnacentral:ribozyme from 1 species